rnacentral:rRNA from 1 species
AUGAGCGUCCCGGCCCCGGCCCCGGCGGCCACCCUCCGCCACUGGAACCGCCUGAUCCAGCUGGCCGCCGCGUCCGGCUCCUACACCCUCUGCCUCCGGCACUACGCCUCGCUCCUCGCCGCGGGCCUCCGCGGCGGCGACGCCUCCACCUUCCCUUCCCUCGCCAAGUCCUGCGCCGCGCUCCGCCUCCCGCGCCUCGGCCGCUCCAUCCACGCGCACGCCCUCGUCGCCGGCGCCGUCGGCGACGUCUUCGUCCGCACCUCGCUGCUCGACUUCUACGCCAAGUGCGCGUUCCUCCCCGACGCGCGCCGCCUGUUCGACGAAAUGCCCACCACCAGCCGGACCCUCGUGUCCUGGAACUGCAUGGUCACCGCGUACAGCAAGGCUUCUCGUCUCGACAAGGCCGUCGCCAUGUUCAACGCGAUGCGGGGCCUAGGGGUGAGCCCCAGCGGGGGCACGCUCGUCGGCAUGCUGUCGGGGUGCCUGGACUCAAUGGCCACGAGAAACCUUGGCCUGUGCGUGUAUGGAUAUAGCCUCAAGUCUGGGCUCGACGCGGAUUUGCCAGUCUCCAACUCAGUGCUCACCAUGCUUGUCCGUCAUGGCCAGCUGCAUGCCGCGUCUUUCUUGUUUGACUCUAUGCACGACAAGACUGUAGUUUCUUGGAGCGCAAUGGCGUCGGGGUUCUUGCAGACGGGCGACUUUAACAAAGUGUUUGCUCUGCUCAACCGCAUGCAGGGUGCUGGGCACAGAUUUGAUUUGAUCGCGCUGGUUAAUCUCGUCUCAGCUGCUGCUCUGUUAGGGAAUCUGUUGGUGGCCAAGGGCGUGCAUGCUCUUCUCAUCAAGAGCGGUUUUGAAUCCGAGCAAGAUCUUGUGCCAUCAUUGGUUAACUUAUAUGCCAAGUGUGGGGAUCUUGAGGCUGCUCAGGAGGUCUUCGAUGCAGUUCACUGCAAGAAUGUAGUGCUUUGGACUUCAAUGAUACAUGGAUAUGUUGAAGGUAGCCGCCCAGACAAGGCCUUGACAAUGUUUGAUAGCAUGUUGCGCACAGAUGUGCAGCCAAAUGUGACAACAGUUUCAUCAGUUCUUUCUGCCUGUGCUGAUUUGGGGUCUGCUAAUCAUGCGAGAAAGGUUGAGGAGCAUGUGGUGGCAAUCGGACUGCAGUCACACCUGCGGGUCGCUACCGGACUGAUAGACGCAUACUGCAAGUGUGGGAGCGUUGAGCUGGCUAGGAAAAUAUUUGAUGCGGUUACCGAUAGAGACUUACCUAUCUGGAGUGCCAUGAUUAAUGGAUAUGCUUGCAACGGAGAAGGCAGUGAAGCUCUCAUCCUUUUCAGCGAGAUGCAAAAAGAAGGUGUUCAACCAGAUGCCAUUGUCUUUACCCAUCUGUUAACAGCAUGCAAUUAUUCUGGUUUAAUAGAUGAAGGCCUUAGGUGUUUUCGCAGCAUGACAGAGGAAUAUGGUAUUGAACCAUCUAUUGAGCACUAUAUGUGCAUAACUGAUUUGCUAUGUAAGUCUGGUCAAAUUAGUAUAGCUAAGGAGUUCUUUAAGAAGAUCCCUGUUCAGUUACAGAAUCAGGUUUUGGCUCCUAUAGUAAGUGCAUACAGUUCUCAUUGUGCCGAUUCUUCGAUGGAUUCAGUAUCAGAGGAAUUACUUAACCUGGACCCUCAAGAUUCUGGUCACUGUGUCUUAGUGUCUAAUAUGCUCAGUUGUUUGGGGAAUUGGAAGAAGGCGGCAACCUAUAGGACGCUACUAAACAAGAAAGGUUUGGUCAAGGAACCUGGAAGGAGUUGUAUUGAACUGAGUGCUUAA